ensembl:snoRNA
AGUCCCCUGGCCUGGUAGAGUGGCAGCUGGCUGGCGGUGCUCAUGUCAUACCAGCUAGGGACAAAGCAAACCCUUGUUUAUCCCAGCUUGGCUUUUAGUCACUGCCCAUUCCCAGUUCAUGUCUUGGACACAUGG